GAUAUGGCUCAGAUUGAACGCUGGCGGCAGGCCUAACACAUGCAAGUCGAACGGUAACAGGAAGAAGCUUGCUUCUUUGCUGACGAGUGGCGGACGGGUGAGUAAUGUCUGGGAAACUGCCUGAUGGAGGGGGAUAACUACUGGAAACGGUAGCUAAUACCGCAUAACGUCGCAAGACCAAAGAGGGGGGACCUUCGGGCCUCUUGCCAUCGGAUGUGCCCAGAUGGGAUUAGCUAGUAGGUGGGGUAAAGG
rnacentral:rRNA from 1 species